rnacentral:rRNA from 1 species
GUAGGUGGCAAGCGUUGUCCGGAAUUAUUGGGGCGUAAAGCGCGCGCAGGCGGUUCUUUAAGUCUGAUGUGAAAGCCCACGGGCUCAACCGUGGAGGGUCAUUGGAAACUGGAGAGCUUGAGUACAGAAGAGGAAAGCGGAAUUCCACGUGUAGCGGUGAAAUGCGUAGAGAUGUGGAGGAACACCAGUGGCGAAGGCGGCUUUCUGGUCUGUAACUGACGCUGAGGCGCGAAAGCGUGGGGAGCAAACAGGAUUAGAUACCCUGGUAGUCCACGCCGUAAACGAUGAGUGCUAAGUGUUAGGGGGUUUCCGCCCCUUAGUGCUGCAGCUAACGCAUUAAGCACUCCGCCUGGGGAGUACGACCGCAAGGUUG